AGCGAACGCUGGCGGCAUGCCUAACACAUGCAAGUCGAACGAGAUCUUCGGGUCUAGUGGCGCACGGGUGCGUAACGCGUGGGAAUCUGCCCUUUGGUUCGGAAUAACAGUUGGAAACGACUGCUAAUACCGGAUGAUGACGAAAGUCCAAAGAUUUAUCGCCAGAGGAUGAGCCCGCGUAGGAUUAGCUAGUUGGUGUGGUAAAGGCGCACCAAGGCGACGAUCCUUAGCUGGUCUGAGAGGAUGGUCAGCCACACUGGGACUGAGACACGGCCCAGACUCCUACGGGAGGCAGCAGUGGGGAAUAUUGGACAAUGGGCGAAAGCCUGAUCCAGCAAUGCCGCGUGAGUGAUGAAGGCCUUAGCGUUGUAAAGCUCUUUUACCCGGGAUGAUAAUGACAGUACCGGGAGAAUAAGCUCCGGCUAACUCCGUGCCAGCCGCCGCCGUAA
rnacentral:rRNA from 1 species